UACGAAGGGGGCUCGCGUUGCUCGGAAUUACUGGGCGUAAAGGGCGCGUAGGCGGCCCUCUAAGUCAGGGGUGAAAUCCUGGAGCUCAACUCCAGAACUGCCUUUGAUACUGGAGAGCUUGAGUCCGGGAGAGGUGAGUGGAACUCCGAGUGUAGAGGUGAAAUUCGUAGAUAUUCGGAAGAACACCAGUGGCGAAGGCGGCUCACUGGCCCGGUACUGACGCUGAGGUGCGAAAGCGUGGGGAGCAAACAGG
rnacentral:rRNA from 1 species